rnacentral:rRNA from 1 species
UUCAGAGGAACCUGUUCUGUAAUUGAUAAUCCACGAGUUAAAAUACUUAUUUUAAUAGUUUACAUAUCGUCGUAAUUUAAAUAUUUUUAUAGAAUUAUAAUAUUUAAGAUUUUUUAAUUAAUAAUAAUUCAGAUCAAGGUGUAGUUUAUAAAUAAGAAGAAAUGGGUUACAAUUAAAAAAUUAAUGAUGGAUGAUUAAUUUAAAAUUAAUCUAAAAUUGGAUUUGAAAGUAAUUUAAAUUAAAUUAUUUAGGUGAUUUUAGCUCUAAAAUAAGCACAUAUCGCCCGUCAUUUUCACUAUAAAGUGAAACAAGUCGUAACAUAGUAGGUGUACUGGAAAGUGUACCUAGAAAGACAAAUUAGAGCUUGAAAAAAGAAGCAUUUUAUUUACAUUAAAAAGUUUAUUGUGAAAAUCAAUAUAAUUUGAUAAUAAUUUAUUAUUAAAAUUUAAAGUUAAAAUUUAUUUUAUUAUAAUUAAUUAUAGGUUGAAUUAAAGGAUUUUGAAAUAAUUUAUAUUAUGAUAGUUUAUUAAUAUUGUAAAAGAAUUAAAUUUUUAAUUUUAAAGAAUAAUUAAUUUUUAAAAAACAUGGCUUGAUGAAUAAAAUAUUAAGUCUAACCUGCCCUAUGAAAAUUUAAAUGGCCGCGGUAUUUUGACCGUGCAAAGGUAGCAUAAUCAUUUGUUUUUUAAUUGAAAGCUGGAAUGAAGGGUUGAAUGAAAAAAUAACUGUCUUUAUAUUAGUUUUAGAAUUUUAUUUUUAAGUUAAAAAGCUUAAAUUGUAUUUGUAGACGAGAAGACCCUAUAGAGUUUAAUAAUUAAAUUAUUUUAUAAAUUUAGGAUUAAAUAAUAUAAAAUUAUUUAAUUAUUUAAUUGGGGUGAUUGAAAAAUUUAAUUAACUUUUUUUUAUAAUUACAUAAAUUAAUGGAUAAAUGAUCCUUUAUAAAGAUUAAAAGAUUAAAUUACCUUAGGGAUAACAGCGUAAUUUUUUUAAAGAGUUCAAAUCGAAAAAAAAGAUUGCGACCUCGAUGUUGGAUUAAAAUAAAAAUUUGGUGUAGAAGCUAAAUUAUUUGGUCUGUUCGACCAUUUAAAUUUUACUUGAUCUGAGUUCAAACCGGUGUAAGCCAGGUUGGUUUCUAUCUCUAAUUAGUUAAAAUAUUUUAGUACGAAAGGACCAAAUAUUUAAUUAAAAAUUUAGUUAAUGAAUAAUAGUAAUAAAUGUUAUUUUGGCAGAUUAGUGCAAUAGAUUUAGAAUCUUUUAAUGUAAAUUUUUACAAAUAAUACUUGUUAAUUAAGGAUUUAUUUUUAAUAUUAAUUUCUAGUUUAAUUUUAAUAUUGUGUGUUAUAAUUGGGGUAGCUUUUUUAACUUUAUUAGAACGGAAAGUUUUAGGAUAUAUUCAAAUUC